rnacentral:tRNA from 1 species
GACCGCGUGGCUCAGCUGGAAGAGCAUUGGGCUAGUAUUCCAAAGGUCGUAGGUUCGAAUCCCACCGUGACCG